AGUAAAUCUUUUGUGACUGUUCAUUUCCUUUACCCAACUCAAGACUGGAUUAUAAUGUUCAGAGAUUCUAAAAAGUCAGAGAGAUUGCACUCUCUCCUUAGGCAACUGAAAAUCAAAACAUCACUAAUAGUAAAGUAAGAUUAAAAACAUAAAAAAUAAUCUCAUAACAGGUACUUUGCAGUUUGAAACUCAAAAAUCUCUCAAAAUAUUUUCUUGUAUUAAAAAUUUCCUAGGAAUAGUAAAAAGAGGCUGUGGACUAUAAUUGGAUUUGGCCCAUCCAGCAGUACUGCUUAUUAUGGUAUUUCUAACUGCCCAAGAAUGCUCUGCUUUCAGACCCACCCUUGAGACUUGGGACAUUGUUUAAAUGACACCUUCUCUAUAAAGCCAUCUAUGACCACUUCAGACCGUGGCAAUAACUUCCUCUCUGGUCUUCUCUAGCAGCUGUUGACACCAUGCACUAAUGCCCUCUUUCAAACACCAACACUUUUUGCAUGACCCAGUCAAAAGAGCACCAGGUUUCAAUGGGCAGGUCUGGAUUCUACUCUUUGUACCACCACCUACCACCAAGCAUAUUUGGGUAAGUACACCAGCCAGGAGAACAGAGUCCACCCUGGGGAGAUAAACAGAGGAAAUGUCAAAGGUACAGAGAGAUUUAAGACGAAUAGGAGAUGGAGAGGCAGCCAACGAAUAACAACAGCAGUAAACUGCUGGCAACAAAGGGCUUGGAGGGAACACGGGGAGAAAGUGGUGUGUCAGAGAACAGAGGAUGAAGGAGAAAGGCAGAAGCUAAACUGUGCCAUGGGAGAGAUUGGGCCAGAGAGGUAGGACUGUCUGGGAAGGAUUUGGAACCAACUUCUGAGGAGAAGCAGCUGCCAUCAGAGAUACUGCCUGAAAUUCCCUGGCUUCUUUCCUCUUCUACUUACCAUAUUUCCAUCUGUGCCACCCAAUGGCCAACAAGCACUGAGCUUCCUGCCUCUGGUUUGGACCUGAAGUGGAGGUUACCAAAUGCCAACAGGAAGGUCAUACUUGUGGUCUCCCCCGCUCACUGAAACCUCGCUGAAACCUGAAGAACUGGAAUUUCAUGUGGGUGUCAUUUUCUCAAGAGAUUUCCAGCUACAAUUCCCAGACCAGAGAUCCCUGGGAUUAUGUGCCGCCAAGAUGGAAAGACUUGUCCGUUUCAACUUUUUCCAAACUGUCAGUUACCAAGAUUGAAAACAGUCUUCCCAGCUGCAACUCAGAACACCAGCCAGCUCAUCCCCAGCUCCCAGAAUGUCAGACAGGCACAUAGAACACAGGUUUGAUAUCUUCAUCUCAUCUUGUACUGAGUAAAUCAUCUCCCAUUUUAUAAAAGCCAAGAAUCUGCAAAUUAAUUUAUGUUACAAAAGGGGUGAGAAACCAACCAGAGGGCAGAAUUCAUGGGAUAAUAAAAUACUUUCCUCUUUCUCCUUCCUCCUUUGUGUCCUUGGGAAGUGGUCUUCUAAGAGGUAAGACGUCUGGAAAAGCAUAAUUAAGGAUCUGGGUGCUUGCUGCGUAUGAACAUCUCCAGCAGUGGAGUGGAAAUAGAAUCCAGAGUGGAGCCCCAAGAGCAGGAGGAAGAAAACUGAGAGGGAAUUAAAGGAGCACUGUGCCUUUAAUACAGAUGGACAGGUGAUUAAUACGGGAAAGCAGAGGAGUUUAUGGGCAGAACCUAAUGCACGAAUGGCUC